AACGAACGCUGGCGGCAUGCCUAACACAUGCAAGUCGAACGAGACCUUCGGGUCUAGUGGCGCACGGGUGCGUAACGCGUGGGAAUCUGCCCUUGGUUCGGAAUAACAGCGAGAAAUUGCUGCUAAUACCGGAUGAUGACGUAAGUCCAAAGAUUUAUCGCCCAAGGAUGAGCCCGCGUAGGAUUAGCUAGUUGGUGAGGUAAAGGCUCACCAAGGCGACGAUCCUUAGCUGGUCUGAGAGGAUGAUCAGCCACACUGGGACUGAGACACGGCCCAGACUCCUACGGGAGGCAGCAGUGGGGAAUAUUGGACAAUGGGCGAAAGCCUGAUCCAGCAAUGCCGCGUGAGUGAUGAAGGCCUUAGGGUUGUAAAGCUCUUUACCCGGGAUGAUAAUGACAGUACCGGGAGAAUAAGCUCCGGCUAACUCCGUGCCAGCAGCCGCGGUAAU
rnacentral:rRNA from 1 species